rnacentral:rRNA from 1 species
ACGGAAGGCAGCAGUGGGGAAUAUUGCACAAUGGGGGAAACCCUGAUGCAGCGACGCCGCGUGAGUGAAGAAGUAUUUCGGUAUGUAAAGCUCUAUCAGCAGGGAAGAAAAUGACGGUACCUGACUAAGAAGCCCCGGCUAACUACGUGCCAGCAGCCGCGGUAAUACGUAGGGGGCAAGCGUUAUCCGGAUUUACUGGGUGUAAAGGGAGCGUAGACGGCGAUGCAAGUCUGAUGUGAAAUUCCGGGGCUCAACCCCGGCACUGCAUUGGAAACUGUGUUGCUAGAGUGCAGGAGAGGUAAGUGGAAUUCCUAGUGUAGCGGUGAAAUGCGUAGAUAUUAGGAAGAACACCAGUGGCGAAGGCGAUCUACUGGACAGUAACUGACGCUGAGGCGCGAGAGCGUGGGGAGCAAACAGGAUUAGAUACCCUGGUA